UGAGGGAGAUAAAAGUCUCCAACUUCAGCGAUUUUUGCAAUUCGUUCCAGUCACAGGCAGCAGAGUACUGGAACGAAAGGCGGCCGAAUGAGGUGUUGGCUUUAGGGAUUAGUGCUGAAGGUUUUAGGUUUAGUAUGGAGGCCGGAAACGGAUGACUUUGUGUUUGACCUCAGGCCGUUACUGAGCAUUCUAAGGCAAAAUCAAAACACAAAGAGAAGUGUUCUGCAGUCGUCUGCACGUAUCUUUGACCCUCUUGGUUUCUUAACUCCCUUCACCAUCAGGAUCAAGUGCAUGUUCCAGGAAAUGUUGGAGAGGGGACUCAGCUGGGACGAAGAAUUACCACCUGAUCUGACACGAGAAUGGCAACAGUGGUGUUCAGAACUAACCCAGUUACACCAGCUCACCAUACCAAGGUGGUACAGAACAGACAUGCGGCCACAGAGUAGCCACACCCUGAAGCUACACGUGUUCUGUGAUGCAAGUGAAAGGGCUUACAGUGCAGUAGCUUACUUGCAAGGUGAGUCACAAGACAGGGAAACAACAAGUCUAGUCGCAUCCAAGUCCAGGGUAGCCCCACUUAAGAAAAUGACGCUGCCAUGCCUGGAGCUCAUGGGAGCUGUGAUUGGAGCGAGACUAGCAAACAACUUGAUGACCACACUGAAAAUGGAAGAAAAACAGAUCAAAAUGUGGACAGACUCAAUGAUCGUGCUGCAUUGGAUUUGCAGCUCAGCUCAGAAAUGGAAAGAGUUUGUUGCGAACAGAGUGACGGAGAUCCAGUCCUUGACCAAUCCACAGUCAUGGUCACAUAUUGAAGGGAAAGCUAAUCCAGCUGACCUCCCUACCAGAGGACAAACUGUUUGAAACUUGACACAGAGCGAGUUAUGGUGGAAUGGACCCAGAAUUCUGACAUCACCCAAUCAGUCCGAAGAGACUGAUGAUAACAAGGUUCCGGAUGAGGUGAAUAUAGAACUCAAGUCCAGUUGCCAGGUUACUGUACAACUCGCAGCAAGCAGCACAGACCGCACUGAACCUGUGUUGGAGCUUGAAAGGUACAGCAAACUGAAAAGAGUGUUCAGAGUCACCGCCUGGAUAAAGAGAUUCAUAGCCAAUGCUCGCACAACCGUAAAGAUGCAAGGUGAACUGACUGCUGACGAACUGUUCGAUGCAGAAAGGUACUGGAUUAAGGUAACACAACAACAGAGUUUCGGACAGGAGAUCAAACUACUGAAGGCAGGAAAAAGCCUAAACAAUGACUGUAAAAUCGGAGAACUGAAAUCUUUCCUGGAACAUGAACUACUCAGUGUAGGAGGAAGACUGCAACAGUCCAACUUCACAUUCAGAGAGGAGCAUCCAUGGGUUCUGCCCAAUAAGUACAGAUACUCAGAAAUGCUGAUACAGUACCACCAUGAGAAGGUGAUGCAUUCUGGAGCAAGUGACACUCAGCACCCAACGUUAAACAAGCGGGAAAUGAGACGCAGAUGGAAGUACAGGCAGAGACUUGUGACCAGUUUCUGGAACAGUUGGCGAAGAGACUACUUGCUGGAUCUAAAGUCAGCACGCCGCUGUGAUACACCACAGCCCACCCCACUGAAGGCGGGUGACGUUGUACUCAUUGGAGAAGAUAACACACCCAGACAAACCUGGAAACUAGGAAAGAUUGAGGAACCGUUUCCAGGCCGAGAUGGCUUAGUUAGAUCAUGUUCAGUUCGUACUGCUUCAGGGACUUUGUUGAGGAGACCUAUUCAGUUGAUAUACUGCCUAGAGAUCUAGAUGAACACAAUUGUUCAUCGGGGGGGGAGGAUGUUGUAACUUUAAUGUGUUAGAGUUGAUGUUUAAGUGUAUUCUUUGAGCUGUAUCUGUAAAGAUAUUUCUUUAGAUUUAUUUGCAUAUGUAAUUGUAUUGGGUUGUGUUGAAUUACGCUUUUUGACUGCAAGUCCCAGAAUGCCUUGCGAGAUAAAUGAGUGAUAACGCGCCAAUUAUGUGCAGGUGCGAGUUGAUUGUGGCUGACUUUCCGACAGCAUGGCCUAACGACAUUAAAUUCCGGUAAUACAAAAUUGGGGAACAGGUAAAUUACUCUGCCAACUAUUAUCCUUCAAAAAGAAAACACCACCCCAUUCCACUAUUUAACCCUAUCUAAUCCUACUCCAGGCCCACAGUCUGGGAGGACAGAACACUACCACUCAACACCUCCUGCGAAUCUUCUGCAGUAAAAACUUGCAAUCCCAAGUACUUCUCUUCAGCUGCCAGCACAUCCUCUAUUUUCUGUGACUAACGUCCCAUUUCUGCAGUACAGUUGACAACCAUAGCUAUGAAAGCUAAGAAACCCACUUUACUCAGGGACAUGUUAUUCUCAACCUCUUCAUUGGUCUCUGCCUACUCACACGAAUACUCUCAAUAUCCAUCACCCUGUACCCAUCCUCCUCUACCACUCUUUUCCCUGCUUCAGCAUAAAACACUUUCUGUAAUACUCUGACCAUGGCAACCUCAACAUGCUUUUCUUUCACCAGACACCAGAAACCUCUGUGCUCCAAUCCCAUGGUCACCCCACAGCUUACCCAGAAAUGAUGAUCACUCAACUCCACUACAAGUGUCAACUCUCUCCUUAUUUGAACUGAAGCCAUGUCUCAUGUGCCCUCUCAUCCACUGGCACAUUGAAUGCUUCUUCUCCAAGCACUUCAGAUCCUGUCCUGUCCUCAGUGGAAGAGUUUAUCCCUCCUCCAAUACCAUCCAUUCACGAUGAGGCUUGUCCAGCAUUGAAGCCUCUGAACACCUCAAUCCCUGUCCUGCACUGAAAUCAAGCCUCCGAACACUUAAACGUAUGCCUCAUUCUGUGAUCAUUCCUUCCCAAUACUAUGUAGUAGCCCCCUCAUUCCCAUUCCCAAUAAUAUUUUGCUAUACAUGUAUUUAUGAAAGGUCAGCAACCUUCCCGCUAGCCAUGAUUGCCUGAGAUGAGUGGACUGGAUAUGCCGAGAGAUGUGCUUGGAUUGUUCUGCCAUAUAGCAUUCCUCUCUCGAAUUAGGUAAUCCUGUGUAUCACGUAGUAAAACUGCAUAGGUGUUGCUCUCUACUUUCUGGAGGACCGACUUUUGAAAUCAGUGGAAUUCAAUUAUGAGAGCGAAGGAGAUGGAGAAAACACCUGUCUCUAGAUUACAUCUCCAAACUAAGGGAAACCAUGGCAUCUGUGACAGGACACAUGUUCAUCUAUGAGUCUAGCCUAGCGAGCUACAUUUUCAGUUAUUACACGUUUCUAAUUUUGACAGAAAGGGGUUUCAUUUCAUGUUAAAGUGUACUGUUAGCUAGCUAACAUUAGCUGGCUGGCUUGCUAGCUAAAGUUACGUGUAUGAGCUUAUUAUUCGUAUCUCAGAGGGAUUUGCUUGACUAGAUACAGCCUAAUCUUAGCGAGCUGACAUUGAACCUGGAUGGUUAGCUAGCUGCAGAUUCAUGUAGGGUAGUAAUGUCAUGAGUUGGGAUUAUGGUUUAUUGUUUAGCUAGUUGGCUAGCUACAUGUCUAAACAAAAGACUCCACUAUGUAAGUAACCAUUUCAGGUAUGUUCGUAAAUUCAGUCUGGUCAUCUACUCCGAUUUCAGAGCACUCUCGUCUGAGUGUGCCAGAGUGCAGAAUAACUGAUGUGUAGCCGGUGUCAUUAAAGGUUGGCAAAAACGCAUAAUUAAAAUGUUGCCAGUGUAACAGUAUAACUUUAGACCGUCCCCUCGCCCAUACCCGGGCGCGAACCAGGGACCCUCUGCACACAUCAACAACAGUCACCCACGAAGCAUUGUUAACCAUCGCUCCACAAAAG